UACGGCUACAUCACUUUGAAACAUCCGUUCCCGUACGAUCAACGAAGUUAAGCAACAUAGAGGCUGGUCAGUACCUAGAUAGGUGACCGUUUGGGAAUACCAGUUACUGUAAU